rnacentral:rRNA from 1 species
UACAGAGGGGGCAAGCGUUAUUCGGAAUUAUUGGGCGUAAAGGACGCGUAGGCGGCUUGGCAAGUGGAUGGUGAAAUCCCUCGGCUUAACCGAGGAACUGCCGUCCAAACUGCUUCGCUUGAGACCGGGAGAGGUGAGUGGAAUUCCCAGUGUAGCGGUGAAAUGCGUAGAUAUUGGGAGGAACACCAGUGGCGAAGGCGGCUCACUGGACCGGUACUGACGCUGAUGCGCGAAAGCGUGGGGAGCAAACGGG